rnacentral:tRNA from 1 species
GCAGUGGUGGUUCGGUGGUAGAAUUAUCACCUUCCAUGUGGGAGACCUGGGCUCAAUUCCUGACCAAUGCU